UAGGGAAUCUUCGGCAAUGGACGAAAGUCUGACCGAGCAACGCCGCGUGAGUGAAGAAGGUUUUCGGAUCGUAAAACUCUUUUGUUAGAGAAGAACAAGGACGUUAGUAACUGAACGUCCCCUGACGGUAUCUAACCAGAAAGCCACGGCUAACUACGUGCCAGCAGCCGCGGUAAUACGUAGGUGGCAAGCGUUGUCCGGCUUUAUUGGGCGUAAAGCGAGCGCAGGCGGUUUCUUAAGUCUGAUGUGAAAGCCCCCGGCUCAACCGGGGAGGGUCAUUGGAAACUGGGAGACUUGAGUGCAGAAGAGGAGAGUGGAAUUCCAUGUGUAGCGGUGAAAUGCGUAGAUAUAUGGAGGAACACCAGUGGCGAAGGCGGCUCUCUGGUCUGUAACUGACGCUGAGGCUCGAAAGCGUGGGGAGCAAACAGG
rnacentral:rRNA from 1 species